rnacentral:pre_miRNA from 1 species
CCUGGUUUCACUUGGUGCAUAGAGUCUUGCUGUCAAUCUCUAGCACCAUAUGAAAUCAGUUU